GAGGGUAUAGCUCAGUGGUAGAGUGAGUGCUUAGCAUGCGUAAGGUCCUGGGUUCAAUCCCUAAUACCUCCA
rnacentral:tRNA from 1 species